rnacentral:tRNA from 2 species
GGCGCGGUGGCGAAGAGGUAACGCAGCUGUUUGCAGAACAGAUAUACAGGGGUUCGAUUCCCCUCCGCGCCUCAA